rnacentral:rRNA from 1 species
GCAAGUCGAACGGAAACAGGACGCUGUGAUCUCUUCGGAGUGAACUUGUCGCUGUCGAGUGGCGGACGGGUGAGUAAUGCAUAGGAAUUUGCCUUGAAGUGGGGGAUAGCCCGGAGAAAUCCGGAUUAAUACCGCAUACCCUCUACGGAGGAAAGCGAGCCUCUUCUUGAAAGCGUGCGCUUUGAGAUAAGCCUAUGUCGGAUUAGCUAGUUGGUAGGGUAAAAGCCUACCAAGGCGACGAUCCGUAGCUGGUUUGAGAGGAUGAUC